CACAAAUACAACCCGAUGCCACAUAGGUGGAAUCCAAUUCAAAAUCUGCAAAAUUUUUACAAGGGUUUAGUUAAGGGUUUUGUGGGAGUGAUUACUCAAUGGAGGGCAGGAAGUUGGUAGCAAAGCAAUUCCUCAAGGACAAAAAAUUCUGGGUCGCCUCUUUCCUCGUUGUCUGGGCUGCUGCUCUGCAGGGGCACAUGAUGUGGUUGCAGAGGCAAGAUUCUUUCAAGCACAAAUUUGGAAACUUAAACGACGAAGGCACCAAUCAACAGGAUAAUCACUCGUCAAAUUAACUACUUGAACCUCCAAUAUGCCAUAACGUCUUUGAUGAAUUGGUGGACUAUUUGUAUCCUUUAAGGGCAGGGAAUGCCUAAUAAGAACUUAUAGAUACAGUUGAUGAUGCUCUCAAUAGCCCAUCUAAACUCUACAUGGCUCUAAUUUCUUCUUUGUACUCUUGCUUGGUUCUUUCUAGUAGUGUUGUCAAAUGCAAAAAGCUACAAGGCCUGUUAGAACCUAAUUCAGAAAGCUAGUGAAGAAACACGACAGUUAUUUGAAAUUAUGUGGGGAAUGCUCGUGUUUUUAGUGCCAAGUAGUCAUGUUUCCACCAUAGGACUGGCAGGUUAUUACCAAGUCAUCUAUUGGAUAGUUUCGGAAUUUGUUAGCCAGUAAUUAUCAACGGUGAUAAAGGAAUAACUGCAGAUUUUGGAGUGUAUCUGCUGUACCAUGACCGCAGUUGUUUAUGCAAAAUAAGAAUAAUGACAUCAAAAUUGUAUCAAAAGAUUAUUUUGAUGUGUAUAAAAGUUUUUUUAAUUUGUUAGAA